GGAGGAGGAAGAGAAGGAUGAACAGGAAGAGGAGGAGGAAGAAAAGGAGGAGGAGGAUAAACAGGAGGAGUUGGAUGAAGAGGAGGAGGAACAGGAGGAGGAAAUAGAGGAGAAUGAGCAGGAAGAGGAGGAGGAUGAACAGGAAGAGGAGGAAGAAAAGGAGCAGGAGGAAGAGGAGGAGGAAGUGAAGAAAGCAUGGUAUCUGGAGGUAGGUAUUCAUUGUAACAGACCCAAUCAAGAAGAAUCUGAGUCCAGCACUUUCCAGAAAAGACGAACAGCCCCGAUGCCUCUGUCUGCCUCAGUGUCACUGAGUUCCUGGUUCCUCCAGAGUGCUUCUUCAAGCAUCAGUCAGGUUUCAACAAAGAUCACUUGGACUUGAAGAUGAAAGCCAACAGGGACACAUGCUGAUUAGCCAACUCUGUGGGAAAUCAUGGUUUGACAAUGCUAAAGGCAGCUCCUCCUGAAACUCAUAGUCACAAAGGGAUGGGUAGAGCCCACCUGUCAGCAAGGGUGUUGGUUUCCUGGGCUCAGAGCCACACGGGCUUAGGUUAGACUUCAGUCAAGAAGCCUGUGUGUGGAGGGAUGUCCUGUGCAGAUCUGGCCAUGUGGCCGUCCUUCUCCAAGUAGCUCCAGCAGGCUCUGGCUCCAGAGUUCCUGUCUCCACUGGGAGCAGGGCCUACUGUGGAUGGUCCAGUAUUCCUUGUCAGGCAUCCUUGCCCCAGAAACCAAACACAAGGCUCCUGGAGCCUGGACACUCCCUUGGCCUGUGAUAAAGUGAUUCUUGUGGAAAAUGGAGGAAGCCAAAAUGAAGCAAAGCUGCACUAUGGCCUUAAGCAAAUAGAUGAGGAGUUUGACUCAGUCUGUGUGUUUCUAUUCUGAGCCACCCUUCUGGUUCCUGAAGCUUGGAAGCUUCAGAUGGUUUGCCAUCAAGGAAGAGCCAGGGAUGGCUCAGUGGGAGGAGCAGUGGCUACCAAUCCUGAUGACCCGAGUUUUUCCUUCAUGACCCAAAUGGAGGAAAGAGAGGCCUGACCCCCAGGUGUCCUCUGACCUCCACACACUUGUCACGACACACAUUCUCUACUCUCCUCCAAUAACUGAAUAAAUCUAAAAAGCAUAUUUUAAAGAAGCAGAGAAAGGGCUGGGUGCUAAGGCAGUGUGGUGGUGAAAAGUGUGGACCCAUGCCCACACUGCCUGGGUGCAAAUCCCCACUCUUCCGCUGGCCCUUCCUCUUGGGAAGGUCAUUUAUUCUCUUCCUGCUUUGUGUUCUCUCCCCGAAAAAUCGGGGUGGGGUCACGAAUAAGCGUUCUUAUGGGGCUCGGUUGAGUUCAUAGUUGGAAAGUUCAAGGAAGAGGUCGCUUGGGGAAGCAAAGGAUUUCUGUAAUUUGCCCAACCCACAUCUGUGGGUCAGGCAUUGGAGCGCUUUUCUGGGAAGAACUCUUGGUGUGUUUGUUUGUUUGCUUGUUUUUUGUUUUUUGAGACAGGAUUUCUCUGUGCAACAGCCCUCUUUGUCCUGAAACUUGACUUGUAGACCAGGCUGGCUAACUCACAGAGCUCCACCUGCCUCUGCCUCCCAGGUGCUGAGAUUAGAGGUGUGCACCACCUCACCAGCUGCCACUGGUGGGAACUUUUUCUUUCUUUCUUUUUUAUUAUCACCAUUUACUACAAUUUAUUCGCUUUGUAUCCCAGCUGUGGCCCCCUCCUGAGGCUUUUCUCUCACAGGGAUGUUGCCUUCAGCCGUAUCUACCUUGAUGGUACACACAAUGCAUGGUCGGGGAGAACAUUAAAGCCACGGCUUCUGGUCUUCAAAUCAAACAACAGAAAACCCCACAACGCUCUCUCCUUCGUGGAGACGACAGAAAACCCCACAACGCUCUCUCCUUCGUGGAGACGACAGACAACCCCACAACCCCUCGUGGAGACGAGGGUUGGUGCCUGCAGCUGUGGCCUCUUGUGUGUCCUGCCUCUGUGAGCAGGUGGGCAGGAGGGUAAGGCCAUCAGGAUCCCGAAGAGCCUGUGUGGCUUCCAGCAGCUCCACGGCUGUUCACGUGAGUUAGGAAUCCAGGCCCCGGCACACCUUACCCAAGGUGAAAAGUGCACGCAGCUGACUCUUCCCAACAGCUCUCGUGGGAAGCUGCCCAUGAGGCACAAUGCAACGCCGGCUGGAACAGAUAAAGGCCUGUGUGUAACUGCGUGUCACAACAUGGACGCUCUCACAGACACGAAAGCGUUGUACCGAGCCAUUCUGCUCCGUUGACAGAGAAGAGCAGGCAGCACAGAUCUGUGACGUAAGAGUCAGAUGAUGGUGGCCGCAGGAAUGAGGGGACAGGGCAGGCAGAGGCUGUGGCCAACCGCAGGAGCAUUCACUCUGUGGAGAUUCUCCCAACUCACACCUGUGACGCCUACACAUGUUCUCGCCAGCGAAAACUGAAACCCAAACUGGCUGUUCAUGUCAAUAUGGUGUCUACAUUUUUUUAAAAGCCCUAAUCACCUGUGAACAUGACUUUGUUAUUUCUUCUGUGGUGAAGUGAUCCAGAAGGCAGCGAGUCAAGACUUCUCUUACAUUGUUUAAAAUCGAAACUCUAAAGCAUCAGACACUCCUUGAUCGCCCUUAUGUGCUGUGGACGUGACUUGACAUUUCAUUCUGUGGUCCAGCCAGGCAUGAGGACAAUGAGUGUUUCAUCUACUCGUCUUUUUUUGCUGGCACAGCAUCCCUCUCAAGUUCUUAGGACCAGAUCUUCAGUUAUAGUAAUUCCCCCGCACCCCGAAAACAAAACAAAAUAAAAUGAAGAUGAGCAGGAGCUUUUCUAAAACCCCAUCAAAAUCGUUUACUGACCUUAAAACACUUCUCCAGUGUGUGUGUGGGGGGGGGCGGGGGGCGCCUUUAAUCCCAGCACUUGGGAGGCAGAGGCAGGUGGAUCUCGGCAAGUUUGAGGCCAGCCUGGUCUAUAGCCAGAUCUAGGCCAGUCAGGGCUGAAGAACCAUCUUGUCAAAUAUGAUCAAUAGUUAACAGGAGA